CAUCAAAUCCUUGUGUUGACCCUAAAAUCACUAGACAGCUCCUAACUGGUUUGAAGAGGGCACCUAAGCCUCCAAUCCGGUCUAAUGAACUGAGUUGACCAGGUAAGCUCCCAGGUAAGUGGGGGGGUCACGAUGUGUUGCAAAGGUCCCACUUAAAAACCACUUGUCUCGAACAGAUGAACUGUCUCCCUUGGGACAAAGCUUGCCUAGACAUCAACUGAGCCACAGAGCGAAAUUGGUGCAACUUUCGGUGAUCUUCGUCCUAUUGAGCUCGAAUGUCCCUAGGGGCUAUCGUCUAAUUGAUUUUAAUUUAAAAUGAUGGCUAUGUGAGAAUUGAUUCACCUAAUUUGGACAAGAAUCUGGUGAUGAAAUCCAGUUCUUAUCUUGUUGGGGUGAUUGCCCUUACUAUGUGCGGAUUAAUUUGUGUAUGUGUAUCAGGCAUGCAUUCACACUUUUGCUGAAUUUAAAAUCAAACAAUCACCACAAAAGGGAAUUUAAAUAAGAAAGGUUUAGAGGUUACCAAAGGGAAUUUUUCCAGCAAUUUUGAAAAAAAAA
rnacentral:lncRNA from 1 species